CCUACGGGAGGCAGCAGUGAGGAAUAUUGGUCAAUGGCCGGAAGGCUGAACCAGCCAUGCCGCGUGAAGGUCAGUGCCCUAUGGGCGUUAAACUUCUUUUGUGCGGGAGCAAUAAUGGUCACGUGUGGCCAGACGAGAGUACCGUACGAAUAAGCAUCGGCUAACUCCGUGCCAGCAGCCGCGGUAAUACGGGGGAUGCAAGCGUUAUCCGGAGUUAUUGGGGUUAAAGGGUGCGUAGGCUGUGAGGUAAGUCAGCGGUGAAAUGCCCCCGCUCAACGGGGUGAAGUGCCAUUGAUACUGCCUUGCUGGAAUGCGGAUGCCGUGGGAGGAAUGUGUGGUGUAGCGGUGAAAUGCAUAGAUAUCACACAGAACACCGAUUGCGAAGACAUCUCACGAAUCCGCGAUUGACGCUGAUGCACGAAAGCGUGGGUAUCAAACAGGAUUAGAUACCCCAGUAGUC
rnacentral:rRNA from 1 species